rnacentral:rRNA from 1 species
AUUGAACGCUGGCGGCAGGCCUAACACAUGCAAGUCGAACGGUAACAGGGAUCAUCUUGCUGAUUCGCUGACGAGUGGCGGACGGGUGAGAAAUGUCUGGGAAACUGCCUGAUGGAGGGGGAUAACUACUGGAAACGGUAGCUAAUACCGCAUAACGUCGCAAGCCCAGAGAGGGGGACCUUCGGGCCUCUUGCCAUCGGAUGUGCCCAGAUGGGAUUAGCUAGUAGGUGGGGUAACGGCUCACCUAGGCGACGAUCCCUAGCUGGUCUGAGAGGAUGACCAGCCACACUGGAACUGAGACACGGUCCAGACUCCUACGGGAGGCAGCAGUGGGGAAUAUUGGACAAUGGGCGCAAGCCUGAUGCAGCCAUGCCGCGUGUAUGAAGAAGGCCUUCGGGUUGUAAAGUACUUUUAGCGGGGAGGAAGGGCGUAAAGUUAAUACGUUUGCUCAUUGACGUUACCGGCAGAAGAAGCACCGGCUAACUACGUG